GCCUGUGUGGUGUAGUGUUGUGAUUGUUGGACUAUGACUCUGGAGAUCAGGGUUCGAUUCCCCGCUCAAGCA